UUCUCUAAAACAUAUCACAGAAUGAGACAAGUAAACAAUUAGGCUGUGACAACGUAGAGCCUUAAUGACCCUGAAACUGCAAGCUGUUAAGUAUGGUAUGUUGGAGAAACUACUGAGAUGAUGGGGCCCAUCUCCCAACACAAGACGCAGAGCUCAUUAAUGGAAAGGGUGGGAAGGCAAGAGGGCUUUUCUUUUCUCUUUGUCAGACUCUCGCAAUACUCUACAGACAGCUGACUGAAGAGAGACGAGGGAGAGAAAGGCCGCCAUUAAUGAAGAGACCGAGAAUCAUUCUAUGCAUAGGGGUAUCGGAGAAGGUCGUCAGCUGUCUUGAGUGACAAAAUUUUUGUUGUUCUGAGCAAUUUUGAAAGAAGCUCAGCAGGCCUUCACCAAACCAAAACUUUCGCAAGCAUCGACGUCCAAUACAAGAAUUUCAGCAUAUAGUUCUGGAUUGCUCAGCAGUGGGAGCCAGAAAGAGAGUCUGAUGGAACACCCAAUGUGGAAUAAGCAUCAACAGCUCUUCA